rnacentral:other from 1 species
AAACUACUGAAGUACUCGCCAGUAGAGCGUAUUCCUGAGCCGAUAAUCUUAUCUUAGGAUUUGAGCGACAGUGCUUUGUUGAGCAGGCCUGCAUCUUUUAGAUGAAUCAGGAAGCCGUAAUAAGCAUGGCUCUCAUCCGCCUUGAACUUCACGGUUCAUGGUAACCCCUUUACAGCGGUACUUUGGUUUUUUC